rnacentral:rRNA from 1 species
UCGAAAGGGAUGCUAAUACCGCAUACGUCCUACGGGAGAAAGCAGGGGAUCUUCGGACCUUGCGCUAAUAGAUGAGCCUAAGUCGGAUUAGCUAGUUGGUGGGGUAAAGGCCUACCAAGGCGACGAUCUGUAGCGGGUCUGAGAGGAUGAUCCGCCACACUGGGACUGAGACACGGCCCAGACUCCUACGGGAGGCAGCAGUGGGGAAUAUUGGACAAUGGGGGGAACCCUGAUCCAGCCAUGCCGCGUGUGUGAAGAAGGCCUUAUGGUUGUAAAGCACUUUAAGCGAGGAGGAGGCUACUCUAGUUAAUACCUAGGGAUAGUGGACGUUACUCGCAGAAUAAGCACCGGCUAACUCUGUGCCAGCAGCCGCGGUAAUACAGAGGGUGCGAGCGUUAAUCGGAUUUACUGGGCGUAAAGCGUGCGUAGGCGGCUUAUUAAGUCGGAUGUGAAAUCCCCGAGCUUAACUUGGGAAUUGCAUUCGAUACUGGUGAGCUAGAGUAUGGGAGAGGAUGGUAGAAUUCCAGGUGUAGCGGUGAAAUGCGUAGAGAUCUGGAGGAAUACCGAUGGCGAAGGCAGCCAUCUGGCCUAAUACUGACGCUGAGGUACGAAAGCAUGGGGAGCAAACAGGAUUAGAUACCCUGGUAGUCCAUGCCGUAAACGAUGUCUACUAGCCGUUGGGGCCUUUGAGGCUUUAGUGGCGCAGCUAACGCGAUAAGUAGACCGCCUGGGGAGUACGGUCGCAAGACUAAAACUCAAAUGAAUUGACGGGGGCCCGCACAAGCGGUGGAGCAUGUGGUUUAAUUCGAUGCAACGCGAAGAACCUUACCUGGCCUUGACAUACUAGAAACUUUCCAGAGAUGGAUUGGUGCCUUCGGGAAUCUAGAUACAGGUGCUGCAUGGCUGUCGUCAGCUCGUGUCGUGAGAUGUUGGGUUAAGUCCCGCAACGAGCGCAACCCUUUUCCUUACUUGCCACAUUUCGGAUGGGACUUUAAGGAUACUGCCAGUGACAAACUGGAGGAAGGCGGGGACGACGUCAAGUCAUCAUGGCCCUUACGGCCAGGGCUACACACGUGCUACAAUGGUCGGUACAAAGGGUUGCUACACAGCGAUGUGAUGCUAAUCUCAAAAAGCCGAUCGUAGUCCGGAUUGGAGUCUGCAACUCGACUCCAUGAAGUCGGAAUCGUUAGUAAUCGC